AGAGUUUGAUCCUGGCUCAGGAUGAACGCUAGCUACAGGCUUAACACAUGCAAGUCGAGGGGAAACGGACAUCGAAAGCUUGCUUUUGUAUGGGCGUCGACCGGCGCACGGGUGAGUAACGCGUAUCCAACCUGCCCAUCACUUGGGGAUAACCUUGCGAAAGUAAGACUAAUACCCAAUGACGUCUCUAGAAGACAUCUGAAAGAGAUUAAAGAUUUAUCGGUGAUGGAUGGGGAUGCGUCUGAUUAGCUUGUUGGCGGGGUAACGGCCACCAAGGCGACGAUCAGUAGGGGUUCUGAGAGGAAGGUCCCCCANAUUGGAACUGAGACACGGUCCAAAACGUCCUACGGGGAGCA
rnacentral:rRNA from 1 species